GUCCCCUUCGUCUAGAGGCCUAGGACACCCGCCUUUCACGCAGGUAACACGGGUUCGAAUCCCGUAGGGGACGCCA
rnacentral:tRNA from 1 species